UCAAGAAAGACGAAGUCUCUGUUGAGUCGUCCAGCGAUGCCCUUGCUAAGGAAGUACGCUAUUCAACGGUCAAGCAAGAUCGCUGCUGGCUUGAACUUGUUCAGCCACACAAGCGGGAAAUACCAGAAAUUUGUGGACUCUGCCGAGCAAAUCGAAAUCAGUCAACCUGCAAAGAACAUUCCUCGCCCUGCUUUAGCGUUGGUUCUCCUCCUUUGGGCUACGUCCCUCCUGGCUUCGUCGUGCUCAUUUUGGAUCUUCCUCUACAACCGCACCCCGCACCCGGCACUGCAUUCCUCUCCCUCUACGAAAGAAAAUGCCUCACUCUACCACUCUUUAAGACUCCAAGGCUUCCACCGCUACGCCCCUCCAGGCAGCAGAGACGAAGAUUUGUUCGCAAAACUCGGAAGGCGACGUGAUUUUAGCGACAAUACGUAGCUGUUUCCUUCAUGCGGCUUUGACUUUGACUUUCGAUGUUGGACAGCGGAGUCCUUAACGUCAGAGCAAGGUGGUUCUGCAUUCGUGAAAAUUUAGGAACUUGAACCGAGUGAAAUGUGACAGUAAAAACGGAACUGAACCAUAAUUAUUUAUUCCGGUGCAGAUACUAUAGACAUUCAUAUAGAAUGGUCCUGGAAUGAUCGAAACGGUGUCUGUGUGAUAGAAGCAAAUGAUGUAUCUUGCUACCUUUACUGUAGAGCAAGCGCGAUACACUGUGAGAUCAAUCGGUACAUCACUUGCAAACAAUAACUACAAGGACGAGGACAAAGGUAUAGAGUAUGUGCAUGGCACUCCUGGUGGUCCUUUUGUCGCGCUAUUUCCCUUCGCUUCUGUGUUUCCACCAACAGGGCUAACAUUCGGAGGUGUUGAAGAAGAGUGGAAAGAUUAAAAAAAGUCAGCAGUA